GCACUGCUGUGGAGCCCUAAAAUAGGACGAAACGGCCGUCCAGUGC
rfam:Schistosoma curassoni strain Dakar, Senegal genome assembly, scaffold: SCTD_contig0003300